UAACUGUGCUUCAUCUGGAGGUGGAUAAAUAACACGGAUGUUGUGUGGAUAGCAGAAAGCAUUAAGGACUUAGCGAGAGGAGCCACAGCUGAUAUGAGUCGCCAGAUGAACAGACUUAAGGGCGAGUUGAGAGACAUACCCAAGAAAUAUAUGAGGAACUCCUUUACAGAUGAGAGAUAUAUCAGGAAAUAGAUGAUUAUAUACGAUACUGUGAUAUAGAUGAAAUAUAUAUGAAUGAGACAGAAAAAACCCAGUGAAGUAGACCCUAUCAGUGACCCUUACGAGGCUAAAUAUAUACGUGAAAUAUAUCCAGUGAGGGAAUAGAUGUGUUUCCCCCCUACCAAUGACAUAGAAAACGCAGUGGUGUGAAGAAAUAUAUCUAAGCAGUUGUAAACAUAUUGUGACGUGGUACAGCAUUUGUGUUUGAUAAAUAUUAAGAAAAAAUUGAAAAAACAAUGUAAAUAUUGUUACUAAAAUGACUCACUGACUGAAGUAUAUUAACAACAGAAAAGAGAGUCUAGUUCGAGUGACUGUGAUAUAUAUUGAAAAGGAUUAAUUUAUAGAUAUUGUGAAUGUUAUUUUGAGGUUCAUGCUGCCUAAAACAUAAUAAUUAAUGCAAACUAAGCAAAAGGUUGAAGAAAAUGACCUCGGUAGUUAUAGGUCAGAUGAACGUAAAGUGAACGACCUUGAAUAAAUGACCUCUAGUUAUAGGUCAGAUGAACGUAAAGUGAACGACCUUGAAUAAAUGACCUCAGUAGUUAUAGGUCAGGUCAACGUAAAGUGAACGACCUUGAAUAAAUGACCUCAGUAGUUAUAGGUCAGGUCAACGUAAAGUGAACGACCUUGAAUAAAUGACCUCAGUAGUUAUAGGUCAGGUCAACGUAAAGUGAACGACCUUGAAUAAAUGACCUCAGUAGUUAUAGGUCAGGUCAACGUAAAGUGAACGACCUUGAAUAAAUGACCUCAGCAGUUAUAGGUCAGGUCAACGUAUAGCAAGUGACAAGUACAGGCUCAUUUCUCGUAUUAGAUUGGCGGUGUGACCUACCUACCGCCUAUCAUGGGUGGCACAACUCAUUUACCAGUUAGUCUCCAACACCCUCCACGCCCACGACACCACCACCGCCGCCCACAGCCACCCAGCAGCCAGCAGCAGGACGUGGGGAUGGACCUGUCUACACUGACGGAGAGUGAGAGGGGCGCCAUACUGGCUGUACUGGAGAGGGAUGACCACCUCAGACACGCCGACCAACAGCGGAUCUA